UGAAAACCGGUCUCAGUUCGGAUCGCAGUCUGCAACUCGACUGCGUGAAGGUGGAGUCGCUAGUAAUCGCGGAUCAGCAACGCCGCGGUGGAUGCGUUCCCGGGCCUUGUACACACCGCCCGUCAAGUCAUGAAAGUGGGCAGCACCCGAAGACGGUGGCCUAACCCUUGUGGGGGGAGCCGUCUAAGGUGAGGCUCGUGAUUGGGACUAAGUCGUAACAAGGUAUC
rnacentral:rRNA from 1 species